UCGUGGAAGGAGGCGGUGACGGUGACGCUGACCGAGCCUCAGGAGCCCCGGGCGGCACGUGGCUAGAAGUGAGAGCUCAGUCCAUCUGCAGGUGUCGGCAGCGUGCGCUACGGCUUUGUACUGGUUGGGGUGCGAGGCCGAAAAGGCGUGGCGGGCGUGGCUCCAGGCCAGCCAGGAGAUGUCACAGCACAGAUGACAUCACCCGGAGCCCGUGUGCUGUCACAAUGCAUUGCCAUGACGACGCCGGGCCCUCCCCAAGGACAGCUGGCCGCUGGCUCCAGGCGCCUCAUUUGUGAGCUGUGCUGCCCGCAGCCGCUCGCCGUGCCCUGUGCCUGAGAGCAGCCCCAGCAGCAGACUAGCUCAGCCUCAUCGCGCUCGUCCUCCAAGGCUCAGAGAGGUUUGGAGGCACAUGCCUGCCAGCAUGGACGGAGCCUGGGUGGGGACCUGGAGACCUCAUCGCCCACGCGGCCUCAUCUCGGCCCAGUUCCCCAGCCCCGGGCCCCAGUACUCCAUCCCGGGGACAACAGGUACAG